GGGGGGACGGAGAAGGCUAUGUUAGCCGGGCGACGGUUGUCCCGGUUUAAGCAUGUAGGCGGAGAUUCCAGGUAAAUCCGGAGUCUUGUUAACGCUGAGGUGUGAUGACGAGGCACUACGGUGCUGAAGUAACAAAUGCCCUGCUUCCAGGAAAAGCCUCUAAGCAUCAGGUAACACAAAAUCGUACCCCAAACCGACACAGGUGGUCAGGUAGAG
rnacentral:rRNA from 1 species